CACACACACACACACACACACACCCACACCCAUCCCCUUACGAAAUCUGACCUCUGUUUAUCAGGGUCAGGCGCGCCCUUUGCACUUUUACAUUUCCUUUAUUUAUUUCGGACUUGAUCGUGGCGGGGAGCAAGGGGGAAAAACAAUACCCCAGCCCUCACCAGCUCCCCUCGAAGGGUUAAAUUUUAAACGGCGGUUUCUGGAACUAGCCCGGAAACCCAGAGUAGGGGGGUGGGGUGGGGGAGGCUGUUCCCCCCACCCCAGUUGCAAAUGCUAAUAAGUAGUUCCAUUUUCUAGAUCGAUUCUGUUAAAGUGUAUGCAAAAAAGAAAUAAAAAAGAAAGAAAAAGAAAAGAGAAAGAAGGAAACCAACAACUAACUCUGUUUCUAAGAUUUUAAAGCGAUAGGCAAGACGAAGAAGCAGAGAUUUAUUUGGAGAGAAAGCUCCUGAAACCGACCCGGCCUUUGGAAGACCAGUCCGCCUGCUUAGAAGUUGGGACUGUUGAUUCCUUUAAUUAAUGAAAUGCAUUUGGUGUUGUUAAUCGUAUUUAUUUUACUUUAUGGGGGGGGAGACGCUAGGAGGGUGCAUUAAAAAGAAAAAUUCUGAAAAGCCUGCAAAAAGAUCGAAGAGUGGAAACUAUUGUUGGAGCGAGUUGGUUUUUACCUCAACAGCGCCACCUUUCGGCAAAGGGUUCUUCCUUGGAAAACAAUAUACAUCACUUAAUGAAAUCUGUUUGUUUUGCACAAGAGAUAUAAAAAAUCCAGACGUUUUCUUCAGUGAGAAUUCCUGGGAAGGUGUACCAGCCUUCUUCUCUUUCUUCACCUGACAAAGACCCAACACGGCCGCACAGACCGGAAGUGUUUAAUACAUAGUUUUGUGCACACCUGAACGUGGGAAUGAAAGGGCUUCUUUGGUUUUAAACAAUAGACAGAGCUAUAAAAUUAUGACGGGGCCUGUUUUCCCCCACUCUUGUCAUUUUCAGUCAAUAGAUUUCCCGGGUUUCUUUUUUUGUUUGUUUCCACUUUCCUUUCUCAGGGGAUAGGCAUCUCCUUAGAUUUUUGUUUUCCUUCAGUUAGGGUCAGCUUUAUGAUUCAUUCUUCCACUGUCAUCUUUUUCAUCCUAUUCACAGCCUGUACCGGUGAGGGAAUUUGUCUCAAAAGCAUUCAGCCCUUCGAAGAUUUUUAUUGUGGUGGACUCAGAACUGAUUAACAGAAAAGCAGAAACAGAAAAAGGGACCUGAUAUGAGGGCGAUCUUGAUGCGGGUUACGUCUCUCAUGCAUGGUAACUCAGAGGACAGGCUCCUCGGUAGUGCUAGUUCUGUGAAGUUUUUCACCCUCCUUCCUAGCCCUGGGGGCGGGGUGAUUCAUAGCUCCUGUUCCAAAGGCAUUCAGCAGCCAUUCGACCUGGGAGAGAAACAGAGUUUUAGAAAAUUCAGACCAAACGUAGACACGCCUGUGAUUACCAGGAUGAGUAUGUCAGUGCAGGUGGCUUCUGAAUUUCUGUUUCUGAGUUUGUUUGGCUGACACCUGAGUAAAGGGGUCCCUUACAGCCCUGUUUUAUACCUUAGUUCUUGGUGGCAACGUGGGUAUUGCUGAUAUCUCUGAUGUGUUUUUCUGUGCAUUGAAAACACCAGACAUGCUCUGUGACAUUCUCGCAGCAUCCCCCAUCACAAUGGAGUAUUCCUAAUCUGAGAAAGAAUAGAAUAUUGGGCGAACCUCCCCAUCCACUCAAAAUAAAAUUAUAGUAAAAUUUA